rnacentral:rRNA from 1 species
GACGACGCUGGCGGCGUGCCUAACACAUGCAAGUCGAGCGAGUGGAGUUCUUCGGAACAAGCUAGCGGCGGACGGGUGAGUAACACGUGGGCAACCUGCCUCAUAGAGGGGAAUAGCCUCCCGAAAGGGAGAUUAAUACCGCAUAAGAUUGUAGCUUCGCAUGAAGUAGCAAUUAAAGGAGCAAUCCGCUAUGAGAUGGGCCCGCGGCGCAUUAGCUAGUUGGUGAGGUAACGGCUCACCAAGGCGACGAUGCGUAGCCGACCUGAGAGGGUGAUCGGCCACAUUGGGACUGAGACACGGCCCAGACUCCUACGGGAGGCAGCAGUGGGGAAUAUUGCACAAUGGGGGAAACCCUGAUGCAGCAACGCCGCGUGAGUGAUGACGGCCUUCGGGUUGUAAAGCUCUGUCUUCAGGGACGAUAAUGACGGUACCUGAGGAGGAAGCCACGGCUAACUACGUG